rnacentral:tRNA from 1 species
GCCUGGGUGGCUCAGUCGGUUAAGUGUUUGACUUGGGCUCAGGUCAUGAUCUCACAGACCAUAGGUUCAAGCCCCAUUUCAGGCU